rnacentral:rRNA from 1 species
AUGGACGCCGCCGCAGGGGGAGGAGAAGAAGAAUUUGUCACCUACGCCCAAAUCGAGGCGUACUUCAACAACAUGGCACUGGAGGGCCCGUCCGCGCAGGACCGCAUGGACGGCAUCGUCUCCCAAAUCAUCUCCCUCCUCCCCGCGCCCUUCGUCCCCGCGCCCGACGCCGACGCCGACGAGUCCUCCGACUCCGACGACGACCACUUCUCCCUCACCUCCUCCGACUCCGAGGACGCCGCCCCCGCCGCCGCCGACCGGCCCGCCGUGCAGGGCGGCGACGGCCAGGACCACAUCAGCCGCCUCCCGGACGACCUGCUCUGCAACAUCAUCUCCCGCCUCCCCACCAAGGAAGCCGCGCGCACCAUGGUACUCUCCACCCGCUGGCGCUGCGUGUGGGCGGCGACCCCGCUCCUCGUCGACGACGCCCACCUCAGGGCCGCCGACGGGCCCCGCGAUUUCCACGCCGUGCGUGCCGUCUCGCGCUGCGUGGCCGCUCACCCCGGCCCCGUCCGUGCCGUGCGCUUCAUCCGCACCUCCUUUCACCGGCAGGAGCACGCACUCGAGCGCCUGAUCGCCAGCCUCGCCGCCAAGAAGAUCCAGGACCUCAUCCUCUUCAACCGCCCCUGGCCGCUCGACAUGCCGCUCCCCGACAGCAUCCUCGACUGUGCCUCCCUCACCCGCCUCUACAUAGGCGUCUGGCGCUGGCACUUCCCAGACACCACCACCCUCCGGCCAGCCUUCCCCAACCUCGAAGAGCUCGGCCUUUUCCACUCCAUCAUGGAGGACAGAGAAGUCGAUGCCUUGCUCGCGCACUGCCCCAAGCUGAAAAUCCUCUCCGUCGCCAUCGCGUACAUUAGCCGUUCGAUCCUCCGCAUCAAGUCCAGCAGCCUCCGCGCCGUGAUGGAAUGGGGAUGCAGCUUCGAUGAAAUCAUUGUGGAGGAUGCCCCCUGCCUGGAGCGCCUGCUCUUCCAAAGCAUUUUCGACCGGAGGCCCGUCAAGAUUGUCCACGCCCCUAGGCUGGAGGUGCUCGGCUACUUGGACCUUCAACUCCACGCUCUCGAGAUUGGUGGCAUUGUCAUCAGGGCUGGGAUGAGUGUGAGAGCUAGCGCCAUGCUGCCAAGUUUGAAGAUAUUAGCUGUCAAGGUGUGACUUUCGCACGACAUGGAGGUCAAGAUGCUGCACACCCUGCUCAGAUGCUUUCCUCGCCUCGAGACACUUCACAUCAUGUCCAUUCAAUCCACUUCACCUGAUGGUGUACAUUCUGCUGAGUUCUGGGAGUCUCAGAGCUCUUGCGAUUGCCUCGAAUCACAUCUGAAGACGCUCGUCCUCCACGGAUUCCAGGGCCUGAACUGUGAGCUGUUGUUCCUCGGUUACAUCUUGAAGAAUGGGAAGGUGCUUAAGACGCUGGGAAUGGUUUGUAGAGACAGUGAUGAUGUGGUAUCGGAGGCAGGCCGGAUGUCAUGUUCUGUUGGCGAGGGUUCCGUUAGUGAGGGCGAUGCGCCAUCAGGCGGAGGCACUGGCAGUGAUGUCAUUUACGUUUGCCCCGCCUCCCCUAGCUGGAGCUUUCAGAACGCCAUUGACUUGUCAGUGGAGGAUCCCUUCUGUGUGUUGAGGCGUGCCAGGGCCUGGAGGGCUUCUCGAGCUGAGGCAUGA